rnacentral:snRNA from 1 species
GAACUCUCAAAGUUAGCCCCAGGGCCUUCCCUAAGACCCCGAGAAGUCAAAUUUUUGAAAACCCUUACGAGGCUAAGGGUU